UGAUAUAGCCAUGAGAACAGCAACCUUGUAAACUGGUCAGGAUAGAAAUAUAGCAGCCAUGUCGAGAAGUACCGUGUCUUGUGGUUUUUUAAUUUUU
rnacentral:SRP_RNA from 1 species